AAAACUUCAAGAGAAAAGAAAUUAC
rnacentral:tRNA from 1 species